rnacentral:rRNA from 1 species
CCCCUAGAUGUUCUGGGCCGCACGCGCGCUACACUGAUUCAUGCAACGAGUUUUGUCCUUGGCUGAAAGGCCUGGGUAAUCUUUGAACGUGAAUCGUGCUGGGGAUAGAUGAUUGCAAUUAUUCAUCUUCAACGAGGAAUUCCUAGUAAACGCAAGUCAUCAGCUUGCAUUGAUUACGUCCCUGCCCUUUGUACACACCGCCCGUCGCACCUACCGAUUGAAUGGUCCGGUGAAAUCUUCGGAUCUGAGAGAUGUUGGAUUAAUUUCUGACGCCUUUUGGAAAAGUCGCUUAAACCUUAUCAUUUAGAGGAAGGUGAAGUCGUAACA